UACGAAGGGGGCUAGCGUUGCUCGGAAUCACUGGGCGUAAAGCGCACGUAGGCGGAUCUUUAAGUCAGGGGUGAAAUCCUGGAGCUCAACUCCAGAACUGCCUUUGAUACUGGGGAUCUCGAGUCCGGGAGAGGUGAGUGGAACUCCGAGUGUAGAGGUGAAAUUCGUAGAUAUUCGGAAGAACACCAGUGGCGAAGGCGGCUCACUGGACCGGCAUUGACGCUGAGACGCGAAAGCGUGGGGAGCGAACAGG
rnacentral:rRNA from 1 species